UCUGGAAGUGUGUUCCCUGUGAAGAUGCUGUAGGCAAGAGUUCACAAAGAAAGUGCAAGAAGAAAGGCAAGCAAGAACUAUUUUUAGAGUUCCUGUUAAACUCUACAUGAAGGUAGCAUGGCUUCAAGAAUCAGUGGUUGUGGUACCUGAUGGAGAUGAAAGCCAUCUUUUCUGUAUUUGUACUCUCAACACGUGGCCCAGCUGGGAGUCUCCCCAAGAGAUGUCUGGGUGUGGUGUGUGGAUACUGGUGAAGGAAGGAGCUUCACACAUCUUUGAGAAGAUGGGCCAUAACAACAAAGUAAAUCCAUGUCCGCACUGAGUGUCCUACAGAGAGAUGCGAUGGAUGACAGAGAGGUGACCUGAGCCACUGGACUUCAGUUCCCUACACCUUCUGCUUCAUGAAUUCGAAGUUUGAGAAUUUGCUUCCAAAAGCUUCCCACUCAUGAAGGAAGAAACCAUUCUUUUCCUGGAACCUGGCUGGCCCUUAAAUGCUAUCACCACAACACUGAUCUCUGCCAAGAGAUCUCACCUCUGUAUUGGCAUCCACGACAUCUGCAUCCUCUCUGCAUGGCUCAGAGGUUCACCCUUUCCUCCCUGCCCUCUGCCCCCACCCCUACUCCCAGCCUCUUGCCUGGGAAUGUGCAUCCCCUUGGUGGAAA